UGUAUCGUGAUUGGCCAAAAUUUCAAACUUUGACUUCCGUGAAUUCUGAUUGGACAAUUGCCAUUCCGCCAUCAAAUUUUGAAAUGGGCAAAGAAGACAGGAGUUGUUGUGAAGAUUUUCCUGAUUUUUUCAAGAAAUAUGCAGAAUCACAGCGUGUUGUAUGUAGUUAUGAAACUGCAAGCAGUGGUUUCAUAAAGAUAGACAUGCUUAAGACCUGGAUGAUAUGGCUUUAGUUGUGGAUGACCAUUUCCAUUCAGGGUAAGUCUGAUAUACAAACAAGUCAUUUUGAAUAAUUCAUUUGUGUUUGCUUAUCUCAAUUUCUAUAUUAUUGCUUUGCACUUAGAAAUGAAUUACAUUUGGAAUAUUUCUAGAAUUCUAAUAAGAAGUGCAUGAUUUUACCAUCUAUAUCAAAGCCUAUGCAGCCAUGUAUAUCUAGUGAUGUACAUUCUAUAUGUAAUCAAAUUAUGGCCGACUCUUUUAAAAAGAGUAUCAUUGUAUUGCAGAAAAAAUCCCAACCAAGUCCAGCUAGUAGACUGUACACCAGAUUGAAGAUACAUCAUUAAUACAAGAUGAAAAAAAUUAAUGGAGGACAAGGAUAAUACUAUGAAAGAGAUCAGAUGCAAGAGCAACCGUUCCCAUAGAAAUACAUGCAGCCAUGUAAACAGAAACCAGUUUUCACCUGCCAGGUGCUGGUCACAUAUAUAUUCAACUUGGAACAGAUUCAAGAAACAGAUCCAGUUGUUUGCUGAUAAAUUACUGCAGGUCAUUGGUAUCAUCUAGAACCAGGACUGUUUUAAAAAUCAUACUAGUAUGUUUGAAACAAAAUCAUGCUAGUAUAUGUUAGGAAUUUAACCUAAAACAUGCUUUAUGAAGGUUUUGGUCAAAUUUUGGUUUACAAAAUAAUGUUUUUCAAACUUUCUAUUCAAAUUUAGCAAGAACAUUAGACACACAUGUAAUCCCAAAUGCUUUUAUGUUAGAUUAUUGCUUUAUUUAAAAAACUUGCAUAUAGGGUCUGUAAUGAUUUGAGAUUAUUAUGUAAACAAUAAAAUGCUUUCUUUGGUGACAUAUGCGGGAUAUGAAUGUAGCGACAUUGCAGAAAAAAUACAUUACCCGCAUUAGCGAGUUAUGUAAAUUUUUUCUGCAAUCAUUGCUCCCUUCAUUACCUGCAUGAAUCGUCAAAGAAAGCAUUAUAUUGUUUAUAUUUACAUCUUUCUUUUAACAAAUUAAUAAAUUGUU